rnacentral:rRNA from 1 species
CCUACGGGAGGCAGCAGUGAGGAAUAUUGGUCAAUGGCCGGAAGGCUGAACCAGCCAUGCCGCGUGAAGGUCAGUGCCCUAUGGGCGUUAAACUUCUUUUGUGCGGGAGCAAUAAUGGUCACGUGUGGCCAGACGAGAGUACCGUACGAAUAAGCAUCGGCUAACUCCGUGCCAGCAGCCGCGGUAAUACGGGGGAUGCAAGCGUUAUCCGGAUUUAUUGGGUUUAAAGGGUGCGUAGGCUGUGAGGUAAGUCAGCGGUGAAAUGCCCCCGCUCAACGGGGUGAAGUGCCAUUGAUACUGCCUUGCUGGAAUGCGGAUGCCGUGGGAGGAAUGUGUGGUGUAGCGGUGAAAUGCAUAGAUAUCACACAGAACACCGAUUGCGAAGGCAUCUCACGAAUCCGCGAUUGACGCUGAUGCACGAAAGCGUGGGUAUCAAACAGGAUUAGAUACCCCAGUAGUC